rnacentral:rRNA from 1 species
CGGAGGAUCCAAGCGUUAUCCGGAAUCAUUGGGUUUAAAGGGUCCGUAGGCGGUUUGAUAAGUCAGUGGUGAAAGCCCAUCGCUCAACGAUGGAACGGCCAUUGAUACUGUCAGACUUGAAUUACUGGGAAGUAACUAGAAUAUGUAGUGUAGCGGUGAAAUGCUUAGAUAUUACAUGGAAUACCAAUUGCGAAGGCAGGUUACUACCAGUGGAUUGACGCUGAUGGACGAAAGCGUGGGGAGCGAACAGGAUUAGAUACCCUGGUAGUCCACGCCGUAAACGAUGGAUACUAGCUGUUGGGCGCAAGUUCAGUGGCUAAGCGAAAGUGAUAAGUAUCCCACCUGGGGAGUACGUUCGCAAGACUG